AUACUAAUGUUCACUUUUCCCUCUUGCCUUGCCUAACCCAGAUUCAAUAAACAAACUUUUCUCUGAGUUCUUCCUUCAAAGAACAAGCAAUGGCGGCUACUUCAUAGUACAUAUCUUUUUCCCUUCUGAUUUUCGAACAAACAGAUUUCAGCACACAUUCCUUUGAGUUUUCGCAACAUCCUUCUUAUUUAUUCUCUGAAUUUGCGAAAGAUAGACUAAUCACCAUUGUUACUUGAAGUUCUAAAAUUAAGCAACAAUGCCGGCCAUCGUCUUCCUUCGCUCGAUGCAACAACCGAGUACAACAAUGGCUUGUACUCCUUGUCUUUGAUUUUCGAAGAAACUGGGUUUUUCUUCCUCUGAUUUCGAAAAUAACAAACAAAAUAAUAAUAAUAAUAAUAAUAAUAACCAAUUAGGUAUAUUCUUCCUCUUUGAUUUUCAAUGUAUUAUUGCAGCAUUCAUCCCUAUUUCCUCUUAAUUCGAACAGAUUUCAGUACUUUCUUCCCUACUCGUUCUAUGAUGAUGAUUCAAAGAACCAAACAACCAUGGAUUCCCUCUUGCGCUAAUUUCGCAAGCAAGCAUCAGUUUCUUUAAACAGCAACAAGCCGCAACCUUUUUUGUUUUCUCACUCUUUUGGCGCCUGGUUUCGUGAAGAAAAGAAGGCGACAUCAUCGAGGAACCCUUCUAGUGAUCGCGAAGAACCAGACUUGGCUUCUUGAAUCGUCUUUGGCUUGCGAGCUGGUUAUUGACGGAGUUGAGGAACAUCGUUCCCUGCUCUCUGUUUUUGAAGCGAGUUGUCAUUCAGAUAUUGACUAGCUUCACCCGAGAGCGACAUAACCAUAGAGCUAUGGGGCACCUCUCAAACUAGACUCUCUAGGAAACUGAUGUUACUUUUAAAUCUUUGUUUGGAAAUUACUGUGUUUUGUUGUUUUGGAUUGUUACUUCUCAUUCAGUUUAAUUUGGCCUUCUGUUGUUUCCAAUUUUUAGUUUGUUUACAAAUCCGAUCCAGUCGGGAAUGAUGGAUUAGCGGAGUUGAUUAGAGUUUCCAAGGAUGUUAUAAUGAGUUGAGCACGUUAGAGUUUUGUACUUUUGUACUAAACUUUGGUAAUAUAUUAGUCUAGACUGUAUUGGUUAUGUUGGACUUUUAUAGAGACUUUUAUGAUUACUUUAUGUAUUAGAUAGAUGUUUGGAUUGAAAAUUAGCUGAUUUUGUUAUGAUUUAGAACUAAAGACUCUUUACGCAAGUUUUGGGAUUGAGAUUCGAGGUUCUUGGGAAGUAAACCCCGUGAUGACCCUGUUUACUCAGUCAAUGGUAAGUCGAGUUGUUACAGAAAGAGAGGAGGGCUUUUGGGUGUUGUUUUUGUUUUAUCAAUUUAAAAGAAAAGGAAAAUAGUAGAGGAAUUAAAUUGAGAAUAUUUUAUGCCAUGUGUAUUUAAGAUCAUUCUCGCACUAGUAAUUCUCUUAAAUUCACUCGUCUUAAAUUAUUAUUUCUCAAAUGUUACAAAAAAUAAGGUAAUUAGGUAUUAAUCUUUAAUAAGUUGGACUUAAAAUACAUCUCUCAACUAGACAAUCUUUCAGAAGACUAGCUGUUUAUUUUAAUGGUUUUAUUUGCCAUGUAGGAAAAUACUAGAAUAUCUCCAAGGAAAAUAAAAUAUAUCAAAAUAUCUUUCUAAUAUUGAGGAUAUUAAGGUUAUUGUGUUU